rnacentral:lncRNA from 1 species
UCCUCCAUUCCCCAAAACCAAUCCCUGAAAACGGAUUGGUAACCAAAGAAACACCGGGUACAUCAGACGACAUAAGAAACAAAUGAUUUGACGGGUCAGGAACAAAAUUAGAAGAAGCAGGAGAAGAAUCAUCACCGAUGUUAGCCAUUUUAAGCACUAAUAAUGCCAAAACCUAAGGAAACCCCCAAAAAAUCUGACGGACAAAAAAACAUACAAACCAGCUAAUCCAAAAGCAACACUCCGUGAACAUGCAACAUAUGAUGUCGACGAAGUAAC